rnacentral:rRNA from 1 species
UAAUACCAGCACCCCGAGUGGUCGGGACGAUUAUUGGGCCUAAAGCAUCCGUAGCCGGUCCUGCAAGUCUUCCGUUAAAUCCAGCUGCUUAACAGAUGGGCCGCGGGAGAUACUACAGGGCUAGGAGACGGGAGAGGCAAGCGGUACUUUAUGGGUAGGGGUAAAAUCCGCUGAUCCAUAGAAGACCACCAGUGGCGAAGGCGG